UCACUUCAGGUACCUACCGCUAUCAGCUACUUUGUCUACUGAUGUCUCMAGGAAGAAAGCCAUGUAACCAACCACACUGAAGAUAACAAACCCMGCAAAGAAACUCGUACCACAGUUAAUAAGGGACACGAUGAGUGCAUCUCUGAUGAAAGAUUGUACUGUAUCAGCUGUGGCAAGUACCUUUGACAGUUAUUACGGAAUGGUAAAUAGCUACCAAACCUGAAUGUGGAGAGGGAGUUGAAGAGCGACGUGAGAUCAGAUAACAGAGAAAAAGAUCAUUACAAAGCCUAGACGAUGGAUGUGGAGUGUGAAUUCAAUUAAAUCGGAACUCAGCGAAARAAAUAACGUCUGCUAAACAGCGAUAAGAUUACUGUGUUUACUGCGCAUCUCAAAGGUAUGUUUGUUUAUACUUUUUACUAGAAUCUUUUCCUCUUUAGUGAAGCAAAGUUGAUAUAUGUCAAAACAAUCUACCGGUARCCAUA